GGGGGCGGCCUCCUCCAGGGAUGGACGCGGCCAAGGCGGCCUCCCUCAGGGCUGCCGUCGGUUAGAGCGUCGAGAGCCGUUUCAGCUUGUAACGGGCGCUGCCCUUCCCUGUCUGCCUCUCCCCAGCUCUUGCGGCUCCGUUGGCUUCUCGCGUACCUAGACGGUUAGCAGAAUGAGGUAUUCUAGAUUGAAUAUAAGCAUAAUGAGAUGAUGUUGUAUGGAUUUGGAAAGUCUAAUUUAAAAGAUGUAAAGUGCAAUCAGAAGAAAAUGGUGAAGAUGAUAAAGUUCUGCAAAACAUGCUUAAUGUACAACACCUAAAGGAAAUAAGAAUGUUUAAUCUAGAGAAAAGAUCUGAUAGGAGAGAAAAAGGAAGGAAAAAUAGAUCUGUUUCCACAUGUUAAAAUUGUGCUGAAUGCUUUCUUACUGUUCUCUGUACCUGAACUCAGGCAUGGUCUCCUGCCAACUGUUCCACCCCACCUUCAUCUACUAAAAAGGAUCUUCACAUCAGGCUGACAAUCUUUCCAGCUGGCCUUUCCACUGUGUCCCCAGGGAUGAGCAGGACCUAUGACCCAGCAGGUGGCUAGGACACAUCCCUUCCUCUCUAACAAUUCAUUACAAAG